rnacentral:rRNA from 1 species
CCUACGGGUGGCAGCAGUCGAGAAUAUUGCACAAUGGGGGAAACCCUGAUGGAGCGACGCCGCGUGAGGGAAUGAAGGUCUUCGGAUUGUAAACCUCUGUCAUGUGGGAGCAAAUAAAAAAGAUAGUACCACAAGAGGAAGAGUCGGCUAACUAUGUGCCAGCAGCUGCGGUAAGACAGACGGGUCAAGCGUGGUUCGGAAUGACUGGGCGUAAAGCGUGCGUAGGAGGUUUAGUAAGUCGUGUGUGAAAGGCGCGGGCUCAACCCUCGGACGGCAAAUGAUACUGCGAGCUUAGAGUAAAGGAGAGGGAAGCGGAAUUCUCGGUGUAGCGGUGAAAUGCGUAGAUAUCAAGAAGAACACUCGUGGCGAAGGCGGCUUCCUGGACUUUAACUGACGCUGAUGCACGAAGGCGAGGGGAGCGAACGGGAUUAGAUACCCCGGUAGUC